UCCAGACUCCUACGGGAGGCAGCAGUGGGGGAUAUUGCACAAUGGGCGCAAGCCUGAUGCAGCGACGCCGCGUGAGCGAAGAAGUAUUUCGGUAUGUAAAGCUCUAUCAGCAGGGAAGAAAAUGACGGUACCUGACUAAGAAGCCCCGGCUAACUACGUGCCAGCAGCCGCGGUAAUACGUAGGGGGCAAGCGUUAUCCGGAUUUACUGGGUGUAAAGGGAGCGUAGACGGCAGAGCAAGUCUGAAGUGAAAGCCCGUGGCCCAACUGCGGGACUGCUUUGGAAACUGCCCGGCUAGAGUGCUGGAGAGGUAAGCGGAAUUCCUAGUGUAGCGGUGAAAUGCGUAGAUAUUAGGAGGAACACCAGUGGCGAAGGCGGCUUACUGGACAGUAACUGACGUUGAGGCUCGAAAGCGUGGGGAGCAAACAGGAUUAGAUACCCCCGUA
rnacentral:rRNA from 1 species